UAAAUAGAGUAGGCAAAGGACA
rnacentral:miRNA from 3 species